UAAAUAUGUCUGCUAGAUUUCUAAAUAUGUAAUUUAAUUCUAUUCGAUGUCAUUUCUGUGUUAGUGUUUAUUUAUAAUUAACACAUAAAAAUUAGGAAAUUAGCAAAGACUAAUGUCAGACUAGCUACUCAAAUCACUUCAGUUUAGAUUUUAAAAUGUUAAUUGAACAGUAGUUGGUAAGAUAAAAGUGAUAAAAUCUCUGAAUAAAGUCACUUAAUAUAAUGAGUCUUCUUCCCUCUUUUUCUCAAUUGCAAAUUUAGCAUUUUUAUUUAAUCUAAACUAGGUCUUUAAAUCACAGAAAAAAUUUUCAGCACGAUACCCAUACUUUGGCAAUUUGGAUUAAAGAUGUCAGAUAAUACUGUUGUACAGUGCCAUGUGUCAGAACUCAAGUCCCCAUACCAGCCUCUCCCAGCUAGCCGGCCUCCACCAUGGACCACAACUGCCAGCAUGCCCCUCGCAGGAAUUCCCUCCACGUCGCACCUACGUCACGAACCGCGACUAUAUAUGGAAGUCGCCUCCCCAGCUCACCACUCAGUCAUCGUUUCUUCGGAUCUAUGAUCAGAGUUUCCAAACAACCGUUCCAUCGUACGAACUCUCAGCUCACAGUAAGUGUUCUUACUUACUUCUGGAAAACCCAGCAUGUCCGUGUCACUUCAUUGAUGCUCGAACGCUCGGGGAUUCCAAGAUUAAACCGAGAGCCAGCGUUUCACCGACGCUAUCACUUCCUGUGAGACAACGCUCUCCACAAGCUCUACUCCCGUAUCCAGCCGACCAGUCUGACACCAUGAAAGAAACAGAAAUACAUAGGGUGUUUGAGUUUUCAUUUCAAAAGACAUUUAUUUAUUAAUUAUUCACUUUUUUUUUCAUUUAUUUUCAUAUUUUUCAUUCAUCAAAUAUGGGGCAAAAAAUUAAAAGAAGCAAAGAAAGGUAAAACAAUGGUGAGUAAAUAAAAUGGGAGAAAGAAAUUAAGGUACAAUAUAAGAAAGGGAAAUAACAGAGAAGAUAAUAAAUCUCCAAGCAAUAAGAGUUAAAAACAUAUGUUUGGUUAAAUCAAGAAAUUUCUAAAUGGUUUAACCAAAAAUAAAUGAAAAAAUGGACAAGAAAUGAUGGUCUUAAAUAUAAAAUAUAUCAGAUCGUUCCCUUCCCUUGCUUGAAAAAUUGUUCCAAAAUGAAAGUUGAACCCACAUCUUUUUUAUCCGUGAAUUCAAUGCCUUUCGGUGAGUCUCAAAUAAAAAUUUGGGCAUCAUAUAACUGUAAAAAAUAUAUCAUUAAUGUAAAAAUGAAACUCCAAAUAAACUAUUUUCACACCCGCAAUUGAACCCAGGUCUUCUGUAUGAGAGUCAGAGAUCUUACAAGGUGCGCUACAUGCCAGUAAUGUUCAAUGUAUCUGUAACAUUUAUAUCCUUGAUGACAGAUGAAACAACGUCAAUCCAAAGAACGGUUUGGAGCGAAAAUGGCUAUUUUGUUGCUAAUUUGCAGGAAAUAUCUAGAAGAAAGUGAUGGAUAUCACUGAUUUUGAUGUCACAGGGUUAUUGAUGUAACAGUGUAGGUGUUUGUUUAAACGGAGGGUCAUCACUUUUAUCACAUUUUAGAGUGGUGAAGAAAGACCUCUUUGAUCACCCUCCUGUUAUCUGUAACUUCCUGAGACAAGAUAAAGGUCCAACAAUCUGUUGAUUAGGUUACCCUGGUCAGCUGAUUCUGAAGAAUUGUGUAAACUUCUGGGUGUGCCUUCCUAAAUAAAAUGAGCUCUAAAGCUUUGCCUGAGUGUGCAAGCACACUGACCUCUGUCUCUGGUGUGUAUUUGAUUUCUCUCACCCUUUGCAACAUAUUUGUUGUUGUUUGUUGUUGGCAGGAUUACAAUUUACCAAAUUAUCAAUCUAAUCCCUCUGUGUGUGUUCUGAACUUUCUUUGAGGUUAUAUGGGAGUAACAUAAAAAUUACCCAACAUUAUUGGUGCUGAAACCCAGGAGAGCAGAGCCCUUCAGUGGGAGUUCGCCUUCGGAGAGCCGCACGGUGCCACUGCCUCAUCAAAGUCCGGGGGGCUGAGAAUUGCCCCAUCGGCCAGCUGUUUAGCUCCACAGAUGAACUUCCAUUAACAGGCUCUCGCGCUCGGACUCAGGGCGAGUCUGCCACUCAGGGGGAGAGUGAAUACCUAAAUUAAAUUGCACCCUUUUUAUUAUAACUGGUUGAGAGUGUGAUUUUACGCUGGUAGUGAUUUUUGCCAUCCAUGCACGAAAGAUGUUUCGGGCCCCGGCUGAGGGCUGGACUGAUAGCCGCCGGAUCUUGUCCUGGGCUCCCGCUUGCCUCUGAGGGAACAGAGUAAACGCGAGGGAGGUUGUAAGUAGUCUGUGUCCGCAUACACAAACACCCCACGACAAAUAGAGAAAGUGAAUUUGGGUCGUAAUAGGGUUGGAUGUGCAAAAUCACUAUGUAAGCUCACUGACGCUUGUUUUAUUUUAAUAUUACAUGGUGCAGCAAAGGUACCCAAAAGUUAAUCAUCGUUAUAAUUGGCUAAAGGAACCCAAACCGUUCUAAAUUCACCCCUUGUAGUUCAGUGGUCUGUGUAUUCGUGGGUUUUGUGGGCUGCGUCCCAUUUCGGAUUGUGCAGGCUUGCCUGAUCUCCGUGGUCCUGUGGUGUUGUUAUCGUUCGUUGCUGGUAUCUGAGAUAUUGAUGUCGGCUGUCCCAUCACAGACAUCGGACGUCUGUGCUGCAUUGUGGUUUUAAAUCUGUGCCAAAGUGUUAAAAACCUUAUUGUGAACUGUGCUUCGGUGGAUAUCUGUGUGUGUGUGAAGGUAUAUGUGUGUCUCUCUCUCUCUCUCUCUCUGUGUGUGUGUGUGUGUGUGUGUGUGUGUGUGUGUGUGUGUGUGUGUGUGUGUGUGUGUGUGUGUGUGUGAAAAGGGGCGUGUAUCUGGGUUUUUGAGUGUGUGUGAAUCCUGCAGGUUCUGUUCUAAGUGUGAUUGUGUAGCUAUCAGAAUGCCUCCUGGGUUUUGAAAGGAUAAUUUUCAAUUUUAUGCUUUACAGUGUUAUUAAUGCAUUUGUUUCACACAGUACAAAUGCACAAGUUGCUUAUAGAAUGCACAUUUAUGGCAGAAGCUGAAAUGCUUGUGUUUGACUUUUAUCAACAAAUGUUCUUUUUCAGGGUGUUAUCAGUAAAUUUUCUCUCUCAGAGAGCAUAGUUUAAAUUUAAAAACAGAUAACAAGAACUAGAAAUCUGUGUGAAAAGCAGAACUAAGAACAUCUGAUCGAUUAUAUAGCAAAAGGACUGUUCGGUUCUGAGAAGAAGAGAAGUGUCAUCUCGGUCCCAGUUAAACCUCUGGUGAGGAGGUGACACUACGGACUGAUUGGAGUGAAAUAAACAACCACCUCAGAAUGGAAAACUCAUAGUGUGAAACCGAAUAAUGGCUCUGUACCCGACCGUCCUGACGCUAAUGUGUAAGCACUAUUGGAUUAUGCAAAUGUGCUGCUCAUCUGAGCUCCUGUUUUAGUUUUGAGCCAACUGCAGGCUGUGCAGAAUGCUGCUGUUAAAUUUUUAACGAACACAUUGUCAUAUUGCACCAAUUUUGGCAUGUCUUCACUAGCUUCUCGUGACUUUCAGGGUGUGUCAAGAUUUUUAAAAUUAUUUGUCUAUAAGGCAUUGAAUGGCCUCACACGCCCUUACAUGUCAGAGCUUCUUAUGCCCUACGUUUCAGUGCAUUCUCCAACUAUAAAUCAAUGGGGGGAGUGGGCUUUUGUGUAUGUUGCAACUGACCUUUGGCAGACGUCAAUGGUAUCAGUCUUCAAGUCAAGACUGAAGACGCACUUUUAUUAUUUGACUUUUGGACACUUACAUUUCUUUAUGCUUUGGCCUGCUUGAUUGUUGGUGUGCCUUGCUUCUACUGCUUGAGUUUACCUUAUUUUAUUGAGCUGUUUUUAAUUUGUUUUUUUAUGCAAUUUCUGUAAGGUGCUUUGGUUGGCUCUCAUGCUGUGCUGCAAUGCACCGUUACAAGUGAACUGGAAGGCAACACAGCAACACAAUUCUACUGCUGACUCUGUUUGCUCUGGAACGUUGAUGUUGGCUUCUAUUAGCCGAGGUGUGCUCUGCUGUUUCCUGGACUCUAAACCAACAGCAGCCUUCCUUGUCACCAGCAAAGCUAGGUGUGUCCAUAAAUACUAAUUUGACAAUUUCUCGUGGACUUGUGACAGGCUUUUCCAAUCCAGUAAUUUCUCCGUUUUCUAUCAGUAGCUAAUGCAGGGCAUAAGAAGCUCUGACAUCGGUUGGGUAGAUUACAGGCUUGUCUUGAGGACAUUAAAAAUUGGAUGACUCUAAACUUUUUGCUUUUAAAUCAAGACAAGAUGGAAGUUCUCAUCUUUGGACCAGAAAUCCAGAAAAGGAAAUUGCUUAGCCAAUUGCCUGACCUGAAUGGCAUUACACUAAUCUCCGAGAACAAAGUAAGGAACCUUAGUGUUAUCUUUGACCAGGACAUGUCAUUUAAAUCCCAGGUUUCACAAGUUUGUAGGAUUUCCUUUUUCCACCUUCGGAAUAUUGCUAAGAUUAGAAGCAUACUUUCCAGGAGUGAUGCUGAAAAACUAGUCCAUGCAUUUAUUACAUCAAGACUGGAUUACUGUAAUUCAUUACUCUCACAGAAUGUAGUUAAAAGUCUUCAGCUUGUCCAAAAUACUGCAGCUAGAGUUCUGAUGAGAAUUAAAAAGAGAGAUCAUAUCUCUCAUGUCUUAGUUUCCCUACAUUGGCUACCUGUUAAAUUCAGAAUAGAUUUUAAGAUCCUUCUUCUCACAUAUAAAGCUCUUAAUAAUCAAGCUCCAUCAAACAUCGGUGAUCUGAUUGUUCCAUAUGUUCCUAACCGAGCACUUCGCUCUCAGACUGCAGGUCUACUGGUGGUUCCCAGAAUAUCUAAAAUUAGGAUGGGAGGCAGAUCUUUUAGUUAUCAGGCUCCUCUCCUGUGGAACCAGCUCCCAGGUGUAGUCCGUGAGGCAGACACUUUGUCUACUUUUAAGAAUAGGCUUAAAACAUUUUUAUUUGAUAGGGCCUAUGGUUAAAAUCUGAUGUUAGCCUCAAUCUGGACAAGUGGGGGAGUGGAGGCAGGUGGAGUGUACAGUCGGUAAAGACGGCUCCCCCUUGCCCUGCCUCCAACAUGCCUCCAUCUAAUUAGGACAGAUUAUCCAGUUAUCUCUGUAGUUAUGCUGCUAUAGGCUUAGACUGCUGGAGGAUACACUGACCACUUUUCACACUCUACUGCUUUCUUCUACAAUCUGCUCUUUAACUGUAUUAUUUUCUGCAAUUUCAGCUUGUUUCGGCCGCUGCCGUUUUGGAGCCAAAUGGUGUGCUGCACUCCAUUUCAUGACCAGCAGUUCAGCAGCGCAGCACUUUGGACAACAACUCCUUGGAAAGCUGUCCGUAACUUCAGGACCAUGGACAGCGCCAGAGCAGCAGUCACGCCAGCUAGGACUUUGCACCUCAUCAGCUAGCUCUUCAAUAGCGGCCACCUGGAGCUCAUUAGGGGAGAGAAAUGUUUGUGGGUUGCGGCAGCAAUGUGUGUUCUCUCCCCUUGGUGUUUGUCUUAUGGUUUUGUGGUUUAAACCAGCUUGUUGUUUGCUUCUUGUGAAGAAGUAACUUUAGGACUUUGUGUGUUUUGGGGAUAAAUUUGAGUUAACUGGUAAUUUUUGGGUUUGGUGAGUCUUCCAGACCAUCUUUGGUAAUUUACCGGGUGGGGUUUUCCCCUGUUGAAGUCUCUGUUUGCUGAGCCAUUUUUGGUAUUUGGACAACUUUAGUUAAGUAAAAGUAGUUUAUUUCAGGAUUUAUAGAGUGGUUGGUCCUCUGGACAUUUUCAGUUAAUUAAUUUUUUAAAUUUAAUUUCUUGGUAAGGGUUUUUUGGCCCCUUCUUUUGGUUUUUCUUUUCUUUUUAAUAAAACCGUUGAAAAGACAAGGA